AGAAUAUGAUAUCCUUUCACUUCAUUGUACUCUUUUGUAAGUGUAGUCAUUUCUGGGAGAAGUAUCAAGAUUUACAGUUAUUCUUGACACUGCCAUGAAGGAUGAAUGAGCUCUCAUGAAUGGAAGAAUCAUCAUCAUGAUGGAGAAAUCAGAGUUUGCCUUGGGAAGAGUGAUCGUAGCUCAACUGCUUGUGUAUAAACACGAAUCCUCUUCUAAUUGCCCAGCUUGCAAAUUAAGGAAAUCUAGCAAGUUUGUUCUCACUGGGAGUAGCUUUGACCUCAUGUAGACAUGAGUUUAGCUGAGGUGUAUUUAGGAACACACCUGUUUUGUCCCUUGUGAGGCUUUAUUCUAGGAACAAGGGAGGACUCGGCUUGAGUUUCAUCUGCCACGAAGAUGUCAGAGCUGGAAGAAAAACGCUGCUGCUGUAACAUGCUCUUAUUGAUUUAGCCAGUAUGUUCUGGAGCCCGUGAGAGGUGACAAACAAAGGUGACCCACAGAGACAUUUUGCACCGUGGUGCUUUCCAAAGCACAGCCCUGUGCUGAAGCAGAACCUUCCCCUGAACAUUAGACAUGCAGGUGUGGAGCCAGUGGUCGACUCUGCAGGAACCAGGCACAGCAAUGAUAGCCAGCGUAAAUGAACCCUCAAAGGAAUUAAUAAAAGAAUGCUGCAGCCCAGGUCUGAAUACUUGAUUCAUGAAACUGAAUUGGAGCAGUAUUAAAUUAGGCUCCAAUUAGAAGUACCUUUCAUCACAGCCUAAAUCUGGUGAGAGCUUUGGUCUCUUGUGGCACCCAAAGGCUGGUAUUGGUGUGCUUUGUCCCUAGCCUUUUGUCCUGGGAUUUAGAAACUUCUAUCCCAACUAGCACAACCGAAUGAGUGCAUGCAGUUGGGGGAAAUGCGUGUGAUACCGCUACCAUGGCAGAACCUGUGACUAUGAGUUUUGAGGUGAAACAAUCUUGCUCAGAGCAAGAGAAACCACUUCUGGCUCCAGACCUUUGCUGCUCUGAGGCCGGAUCCUUCUGGUGGCUGCUGCCAGAGAAGGGGAGCUAUAAAUGGUCCGAGUGGAGUGUCCCUGGGUUUUGAUCCUCUGACUGUGUAAACUUGGACCAGCUGCUUCCACCUUCUGUGCUUCCCGGAGCAGUUCCUAAACAAAAGCACACUUGCUAUAAAUUUCCAGUGCCACUUUGGCAGCACACUUACUGAGUUUUCCAUAUUCCUUUUCUGGAUUUUGUUUCCUUUCACCUUUUUAAGUUUCUUUCCUUUUCCCCAAUGGAGUGGUUAUGUUCCCAGAUUAAAAACAGAAGUUUAUUCAGGUUGAUUUGUUAAAAAUGUAGUUUUAUUAUGCUUUCAAAUGGUAUUUUCCAUAUAAAAAUAUUUACUUUACUAAAACCACAUCUUUCUGAUGGAAGAAUGUCUGGGUUUAAAAAGAAAGUCUAGUAGCUCGAGUACCUAAAUGUUUCAGUGGUUCUGUGAUUUCAUGGAGCAAAACAAUUAGGGAUAAUAAAAUUCUUCAUUUUAGUGAAACUUAAUUAUAAAAUUAUGUUCUUGUUGGCUGAGGUGUGAAAGCUUCAUGCACUAAAGACUUUCUGAAUCCUGGAAAUUGUAAUGUUGAAAGUGUAAAAUCCGGCUGUUCUCAAGCUGUUAUCAAUGCAAUAAAGUAAUGGGUGAAAUUUUAAUCUUUGUGGCAUGCUGCCCACAGAUAGCAAAACUGUAAUUUGUAGUUGCUUGUUAUUAGUAAGUGCAGCUCUGUGGCGGUCAGAACUGGAGGAUUUUAGACCUCAUGUCUCAGGAGCCAGUCUCUCGGUCUGUGGCUGCAAUCAGGCCUGGCAAGCCUGCAGUAAAAGCUCUGACACCAGCCUGUUGGCUUGUGAUGUCCCUGCUGGAGACCAAAUCCAGCCUGGGCUGAUAGCGGAUUGCUUUUGUUACAGGGAUAGCUGCAUCCUGACCUCCUCCUCCUGCAAGGGAUUUCGAAAAUUGUCCCUCAGGUAUUAAAUCCCACAGCUCUCCUCAGCAAGGCUCCUUGCUCCAGAGCUCUAUUAGCAAAUGCAAGUGGUGGCCAGAAAACCUAUUAGAAGCUGAAAUAUUAUUGUGAGAGAGGGGUUAGAAACUAAAUGAUAACCUUAAGUCUUAAGGAAAUUCUUUUGGUGGUCUGGAUGUAGCUGGCUUCCUCCAGCUCUCUCUGUGUCUUGCUCUUCCUCCCUGAAAUGACCGUCCCUCCUUUUGGGACAGAAACUCCUUCUGCACAUUGCAGUCUCUUGGUUCUUUCAUCGCUACUGUGAAUGCGAAGGGGUGGCCCACCUCCUGCUGCUGACUCUUUUUCCUUCCUGUGAUGUGCAGGGAGUUGGUGAGAGCUUGCAGAAGAUGGGAAAUGAUUCCUGAGCUGAUUUGGUGGCAGCACAUAACAUGAUACUUAAGUACUACGUCCAUUGCGUUUCUCAACAGCAGAACAGAUGAACAAGCAAACUCAGUGCAGCUAAUUCCCAAAUAACUGGAUUAUUCAAUAUACGUAAACAAGCAUCACCCAUAUUGGUCCUUAGACAUGAUGGCUGGUGUCUGGCAGCUUUGUAAGCCCAGCAAAACAAGUACAAGCCCAGGGCUAGCAGGCGUUUCAAGGCAGUGUUAUUCUAGCUAUAUGCUCUGUGUUAAGUUACUGGGGGAGAAGGUGGUUUUAUUAGACGACAGGUAUAUCUCCAGUGAAACAGAUCUUAACUCGUGAGGCUACCCAUUGAUUUUUCAAUCUGCAGUAAAGCUAAGGCUGUUACUGAUCAAAUAUCACUCUGUCUUUCUCUGAGGACAAAAAGUUUGCCUCUUUAACUGCUUGAGCUCUUAGAGAGACUUCCAGAGGGAAGAAGAAAAAAGGGUGAAGAAAAAUCUUAAUUUUCUUGUUAUUUGAAAAGGGUAAUGCUAUCAUACCUCUUUCUGUUCCCAGGUCCCCAGUGUACAUUCUGAAUAAAAAGCUCAGCCUUCCAGAUUUUUCCAGAUUUGUACAGAUAAGGAAGAACACUAACUGAUGUUUUUCAGUGUUUUCUGAGCAUCUGGAGUGAUGUUUCCAAGCAGCUGGAGGCACAGCGUGGUUGUGUGUUGCAAGCCCAUGAGGAUUCUCUAGAGACUCCAAAGGAUUCUCUAGAGACUCCAGGUAAAUGUGCCUGAGAUGCCAUCCCGCAGCCUGGCACUGCACAAGAGCCACCCAAAGCAUCACGGGGAAUGCAGUAGAUCACAUCUGGAACUGUAAAAGCAACUGAGCAUCUUGGUGAUGUGGAUCCAUGGUCCCUAGUUUCUCUUCAGCGGGAGAUCUUGUCCACCCCAACCUUCUCCCUGCUCUCUGUCUGUGCUAAUUAGAUUGGGCUUUGAGGUAUCAAGCCUUUACAUUAGCAAUGCUGUUAUAGAAAUUCUGUUAAUUUAGCCAAUUGUGUUACAAAUUAACCUUUGGCAUUGGGAAGAUUCUUGCAAAGAAAUCGUGCUGAUCCAUGAUUAGUGCAGUGGUUGGCAGCCACUGCUGCAAGUUAAUUUUACUGGGCUGACGAAUUUAGGGCAGUUCUUCCUGUGGCAAUCAAAAUACAGGACCCGCAGUAUUGUUGCACUAGCGGCGGCUGCAUGUAAACAAACACACUUUUGCACACGCCAGCAAUUUUGCAAGCGUCCUGAAUGUCCUAUGGAUUCAAGUUUCUUUUGUCUAUCAUAUAUCUUAGUGAGCAAUAAAAUGGAAUUUGCAGAAUCUGAA